rnacentral:rRNA from 1 species
AUCACAGCCUUUUUCCCGAAACCGAACGAGCUAUUUUUAAGCAGUCUAAAGGACGCACCCAUCUAUGUAGCAAAAUAGUGGGAAGACUUAAAAAUAGCGGUGAAAUGCCUAUCGAGCUCGGAGAUAGCUGGCUACCUAAAAAUGAAUCUAAGUUCUACUUUAGGAAAAAAAUUAAUCAAUUAACCAACCUAAAGACAGUCAAUCAAGGUACAGCUUUAUUGACACGGGAUACAACCCAAAUUUGUAAGUAACUUAACUAAAUUCAACCAGUAGGCCUUCAAGCAGCCACCCUAAAAAAUAUCGUCAAAGAAUUAACCCAAACAAUUCCAACACCCACCAGAACUUCAAACUAACUAAAGGUGAAUCUACCGCUGUAGAUACCAUUAUGCUAAAACUAAUAAUAAGACCACAUCUCUCUAAACGCACCCCUCUGCUAGAAAUAGAAAAUCAACUAGUUAUUAACAGACCACAAAAGGUAAACACAACCCAAUACACACCUAAAACUCACUGUGACCCCAACACAGGAGCGUUAAAAAGAAAGAUCAACUGUUAUAAAAGGAACUAGGCAACCAAGGACUUCAACUGUUUAACAAAAACAUAACCUUUAGCCAAACCAGUAUUAAAGGCGACGCCUGCCCAGUGAAUAAUUAAACGGCCGCGGUACCCUAACCGUGCAAAGGUAGCACAAUCACUUGUCUAUUAAUUGUAGACCUGUAUGAAAGGCAAAAUGAAAGCCCGACUGUCUCUUAUAACAAAUCAAUAAAACUGAUCUCCUAGUACAAAAGCUAGAAUGUUAACAUAAGACCAGAAGACCCUGUGAAGCUUUAAUAAACCUAUUAAAUCAAAUAAUAACUUUUUUUGGUUGGGGCAACCUUGGAAUAAAAAAGAACUUCCAACAAUAUGACUCCUCAUAAAAUAAGGCAAACACGCCGCAAAUAUGACCCAGCACGGCUGAGUACUGAAAUAAGUUACUCCAGGGAUAACAGCGCUAUCUUCUUCAAGAGCCCAUAUCAAAAAGAAGGUUUACGACCUCGAUGUUGGAUCAGGACACCCCAGUAAUGCAGCCGUUACUAAAGGUCGUUGUC